GCCGGUGUAGCUCAGUUGGUAGAGCAUCUGAUUUGUAAUCAGAGGGUCGGGGGUUCGAAUCCCUCCACCGGCUCCA
rnacentral:tRNA from 1 species